CCCUGCUUCAUGAUUUUUUACUUGCUGUGUCUGCUCAAUGAUUUUUUAAUUGCUGGGCUCUCUCAGAAAAACUUUUUUUAAAUUAAAAAUUGAAAUUUUUUUAAUUUGUGCAGAAACAAUUAUUAAUAUUAAGGACAAGAAGACCCUAUGAAUUUAUUAAAUUUCAUUCAAUAUGUAAUUACUAUUGAAGAAAUUUUGGCUGGGGCGGCUAAAAAAUAUUUUAAACUUUUUAAAAAUAAAAUGAUCCAUUAUUAAUGAUUAUAUGUUAAAUACUCUAGGGAUAACAGCGUUAUAUUUUUUGAUAGACCAUAUUGACAAAAAAGUUUGCGACCUCGAUGUUGGAUUAGGAUACUUUUUUAAUGCAGAUAUUAAAAAAAGAAGUUUGUUCAACUUUCAAUUUCCU
rnacentral:rRNA from 1 species